AGUAUAAAGAAAAUGAACGGC
rnacentral:piRNA from 1 species